GGUCUGUCUACAGGCUCCACAUCCAGAUCCUAACUAAAAUUUAGAAGUCUUUAGAUGUCUGUGGAUAUUAUCAUCUGGAAAACUGGGACUCUAAUAGUUUCUGAGUCUAGUAUUUUCCCCAUAUAGCUACUCAGUUUUUUCUAGUAUAUAUGUCAAAUAAAAUUUUGAAAAAAUUACCCCUUCCCACAAUCUUUGCAAAUUAAUCCUCAAAUGAAAAGGAUUUAAUUUAGCUAUUCCAUGAUAAAUAAAAAAUAUGCAAUUUUAUUGAAUAAACUUAAAGUAAUUAAUAAAUUCAAUGUACUGUCAGAAGUUUUCUGUUUUGUUUUGUUUUUAAAAAUGUCCAUUAAAAUGCUACCUAUGUGGGUUAAAAAGCCUAUAAUACAAUUUCUAACUUCAGGAAUAUGUGACAACAUGUAGAAAGGGUAUAUUGGGCUGUGCAAUUUAAAUUUUCAUCACCUACAGGUUAUGGCAUAAGACUGAUAUGAAAAUGAAUGAGAAUUAGGUUAUAUGUAGAGUCUUUUGUCUUUUGUUCUAUUACUAUAAAAUAUUUCAUUUAAAAAGUAGGGAAAAAAUUACUAAGGUGGUGAAUUUGCCUGAUAUACCAAUAAGCACAGUUGUUUUGGAAGUUGCUUGGUACCACUGACUUUUUGCUUCUUUAAAUAAGUAUUUCUUUCCUUAGCAAACACUUCUCUUUAUGAGAAUACCAUUACUCUCAAAAGAUUCCAAUGUUUAUUUUGUGCUUAUGGCACUUUUUAAUUUAAAUUUUCAAGAAUGCACUUUGCAUUAAGAUGAACCAAAGUAGUAUUAGUGAAUUCAGCAACCAGUUCAAGGCAUAGUUUUCUGAUUUUCCUACUUAAGAAAAUGAAGGCCAGGCGUGGUAGCUCACGCCUGUAAUCCCAGCACUUUGGGAGGCCGAGGUGUGUGGAUCACGAGAUCAAGAGAUCUAGACCAUCCUGGCCAACAUGGUGAAACCCCGCCUCUACUAAAAAUACAAAAAUUGGCUGGGCGCAGUGGCCUGCGCCUCUAGUCCCAGCUACUCGGGAGGCUGAGACAGGAGAAUGGGGUGAAUCUGGGAGGCGGAGCUUGCAGUGAGCCGAGAUCGCGCCACUGCACUCCAGCCUGGGCAACAGAGAGAGACUCAAUCUCAAAAAGAAAAGAAAAAGAAAAUGAAUAUAUUUUAAUUUUAGAAUUUCAGAACAUGUCCGUAUUAACUCGAAGAAAGUUAUCAUGAAUAAUGCUAUUUUAAUGAAUGCUGAGGGAAUUGUGCCUAAUAUUCUAAAAUACUCUUGAGAAUUAUGAAGAGUGUGCAGUAUGGCAAAGGCAGCCAUGAGAAUUCCCAAUAUAUAAAAUGUAUACUGUAUUCAAAUAAUUAUUUCUCAAAAGUAUAAAUUUUCACUCUAGAUAGUUUUCUACAGGGUGGCACAUGCUAUGUGGUAGUAAAUGAGCCUGUAAAACUGAACUCAUUAGACAAUAACUACUUCUAUUAAAUACCUAAAACACCCUUAAUGUGAAUGUUUUGAAUUUAUUUUUAUAUGUGUAGAGUCUAUAAUUUGUUAGUGACUAUAAAUUAAAUUAUAACAACCUUUAGCUUUUUUAAGUUUCACAAUUGUUCUGUAUUCCAAUUAAGAGGCUCAAAAUCUAGUCUGGGAAACUCCACUUGGCUUACAAAAAAAAAUCAAUAUGCUUUUUAUUUCAUGGGGCUCUGGGAUUGUUAAGAUUAGCAUGAAAUACUGACAUUUACACUCCUGAGUGGACUAGAAGGGGAGCAGGAUGGAAUGAUGAUGGCAAGUAAUUGGACAAUUGGACAGUUUCCAGAAAGGCUUUAAGAAAUACUAUUAAAUCUCCAUCUGCUGAUUGAAAAUUCCAGGUUCAUAAGGUAUAACAAUAGCUGAAAUACAAGCCUUAGAUGAUCUCUAUCUUUCCUUUGCAGGUUUGUACCCCACCUACUUUGCAAGAACCUGUGACAAUUUUUUAAUUAAAACAUCUGCAUAAUUAAACAUUUUAGGCUAAUGAUGACAAGAAGACAGGCCAUAUUUUAUUACUUUUGUUGAACUGCCCAGUGUAUAUUACAUUUGCUAUAAAUUAAUUACUCAAAAUCCUGCCUUGAAAAUAUCUGUUAUAAUUUUUAAAAAAAGAAAAUAAGGAAAAGAGAAGAAAUAGAUUAAAAAUUAAAUUAGGGUCUUACACUUAUAAUGAGAUGGUUCUAAGGAGGUAAGACUUAACCUAAAUAAGUUUUCGUUCCUUUGAAUUAGUGGAAUAAAUACAUCUUAAAUUUCUCCAUUCCAUUAGGACAGAUCACAGGUGAACUUGGUGAGGGAGUAAGCGAAGAACAGUUAGAGUUGCAGGGUCCUAAAUCAACCACAGGGAGAAUAAUAUAUUACUCUGCUUAUUUUACUCUUCCUCUCCUCUUCACGUUUAUGUCUUCUUCAGUAUUUCCUUCUCAGUUUGAGUUUUAUAUAGCAUAUGACAUACACAUAUGUGCCAACACAAUGUGAGUGACAAGACUGGAAGAGGAAAAGCUUACAUUAAUUUAUCUUGAAAAAUGAAAUGUCCAAUUAUACAACAUUAUAGAGUGCUAAUAGCUCACCAAAUAACAUAAAUAAGAUUAUAUUUCACUCAGUGCCAGACCUGACAACCAAACCUAGGUUCCAAAGUAAGCCUUUCUUUUUAUCAAUAGAUUGAAUAUACUAGAGGUUAAGAAAAUUCACAUAAGGCCGAAUCUCCUCUUUAAAAAAUCCUUUGGCAUUUUUCAUAAAAACAGCUCUUUGCCCGUGGCUCAAUUUAGGACUUUCACAAAUCCCUUGAAUAAUGAAGGUCUUGGUUUUACAUGACUGUUUAUGUGUGGUAUUCUAUGAAAGGUCCAAAAGCUUGUUAAGGACAAUUGCUAAAAAAAUUAAAAUAUAUCAAGAUUAUUUUUGUCAAACCAAUAUGUGUUAGAAAGUUAUCUAUUGAAGUGUAUUCCAUAUACUUAAUAUAAUAUUAUUAUAAUAAAUGGCAAGAUAAAAAGAAAUCCACUACAGGAUAUUCCCAUUUCUCUCCAGAGUCAUGGUAUCAACAGAUAACACGCCAGUCUCCCCAGGAUACCACUAUAAUUUAAUACAUGCAAAGUAUCCAUCUAAUUUACCUGUUACUGAUGAGGAAAUUCCAAAAGUAAGCUUCUCAUCAUAGCAAAUCCUGAAGAACUAGCAUUUAAGCUAUUUCAUUAUGGGGUGAAAAAAAUCAUCAUUUAGAAAUAAAAGUACCAAUUAGUAACAAAUUAUGUACAAGUCACUCUAGCACAGUGUAUUUCAAUCACUUCAGUAAUUUUUAGCCUCCCAAAAAAAAGUGUCAGAAAUGAGGCAUGAAAAGCUAUUAAAUGAAUCAUUCACACGUUGAAUAGAUGUUGUCGUCAGUUUGUUCUCUCAAUGGAAAUAAUGAACAACUGAUUUAUUUAUAACUGGUCAUUAUGAUAAUACACCUUCAUGUUCCACCCUUUUCAAUAUAUUAUGGAUAUGUUAUAACUGUCUUAUUUUAUAGCUGAUCUAAAAUCAUAUGCUUCCAUUAAAAUUUCUUCUUUUCCAGGCUUUCCCUUAAUUUUAAUGUUCCUUUGGCUUGGGGUGUAAUUAAAAUGUUUUUACUG
rnacentral:lncRNA from 1 species